rnacentral:rRNA from 1 species
GCCCAGAUGGGAUUAGCUAGUAGGUGGGGUAACGGCUCACCUAGGCGACGAUCCCUAGCUGGUCUGAGAGGAUGACCAGCCACACUGGAACUGAGACACGGUCCAGACUCCUACGGGAGGCAGCAGUGGGGAAUAUUGCACAAUGGGCGCAAGCCUGAUGCAGCCAUGCCGCGUGUAUGAAGAAGGCCUUCGGGUUGUAAAGUACUUUCAGCGGGGAGGAAGGGAGUAAAGUUAAUACCUUUGCUCAUUGACGUUACCCGCAGAAGAAGCACCGGCUAACUCCGUGCCAGCAGCCGCGGUAAUACGGAGGGCGCAAGCGUUAAUCGGAAUUACUGGGCGUAAAGCGCACGCAGGCGGUUUGUUAAGUCAGAUGUGAAAUCCCCGGGCUCAACCUGGGAACUGCAUCUGAUACUGGCAAGCUUGAGUCUCGUAGAGGGGGGUAGAAUUCCAGGUGUAGCGGUGAAAUGCGUAGAGAUCUGGAGGAAUACCGGUGGCGAAGGCGGCCCCCUGGACGAAGACUGACGCUCAGGUGCGAAAGCGUGGGGAGCAAACAGGAUUAGAUACCCUGGUAGU